rnacentral:tRNA from 1 species
AGUUAAAAAGCUAUAGAUAAGCCUAAUGUCUUGAAAACAUUAAGAAAGGGGUUUAAAUCUCCUAUUAACUU